UUUUUAAUACAAUUUCACAACAACACAAAUAUUAUUUUUAGUCUUCAGAGAUCAGAACACAACGAAAAUUAAAACAAACUACUAGAAACAAAGAAGCCAAACCAAAUCCAAAACAAGAUGCCAAUUAAAGUGGGAAUUGAAAGAACAAAAACGACAAAUGAAACCCCAAUAAAGGAUGAAGUACACGUUGUGUUAAAGGAAGAUGCAGAUUUUUAGCAAUGGAAAGACUGGCCAACAAGGUUGCAUUUGGCAGGAAGCUGCAUGGCCAGGUCAGGAUCGAUCUUGUUUGCGGACAACAGCCAGGGGUAAUUAUUCUUGUAAAAGCAAAGGCAUUGGAAGUCAGCCUUGGAAAGAGCCGAGCAACAUGAAUCUGAUGGCGCAGUAGGAUUUUGGCCUGAAACUGAUGGCCUGCAGGACUUCAAACCAUCAUCUGUCAUGUGGCAAAUGGUCUCACCGUUGGUCACCAUGGGCUUAGCUGACACUAGAGCUAAUGCCACGACCAGUGCCACAAAGGCAAGCUUCUUCGCAUAUACCUCCAUAUAGCUCUCACACACUCAAGCUUCGCACUUCUUUGUUUGUG
rnacentral:misc_RNA from 1 species